GUUGCCACCGACGAGAGGUGGGGACUCAGGCGGGACCGCCGGUGGACAAACCGGAGGAAGGUGGGGACGACGUCAAGUCCAGUCAUGGCCCUUAUGUCCUGGGCUACACACGUGCUACAAUGGCCGGUACAGAGCGCAGCGAGGCCGCGAGGACGGAGCGAAUCGCUUAAAGCCGGUCCCAGUACGGAUUGGAGUCUGCAACCCGACUCCAUGAAGUUGGAAUCGCUAGUAAUCGCGCAUCAGCAUGGCGCGGUGAAUACGUUCCCGGGCCUU
rnacentral:rRNA from 1 species